rnacentral:rRNA from 1 species
UACGGCGAGUGAGCGGCAAAAGCUCAAAUUUGAAAUCUGGCACCUUCGGUGUCCGAGUUGUAAUUUGAAGAAGGUAACUUUGGAGUUGGCUCUUGUCUAUGUUCCUUGGAACAGGACGUCACAGAGGGUGAGAAUCCCGUGCGAUGAGAUGCCCAAUUCUAUGUAAAGUGCUUUCGAAGAGUCGAGUUGUUUGGGAAUGCAGCUCUAAGUGGGUGGUAAAUUCCAUCUAAAGCUAAAUAUUGGCGAGAGACCGAUAGCGAACAAGUACAGUGAUGGAAAGAUGAAAAGAACUUUGAAAAGAGAGUGAAAAAGUACGUGAAAUUGUUGAAAGGGAAGGGCUUGAGAUCAGACUUGGUAUUUUGCGAUCCUUUCCUUCUUGGUUGGGUUCCUCGCAGCUUACUGGGCCAGCAUCGGUUUGGAUGGUAGGAUAAUGACUAAGGAAUGUGGCUCUACUUCGGUGGAGUGUUAUAGCCUUGGUUGAUACUGCCUGUCUAGACCGAGGACUGCGUCUUUGACUAGGAUGUUGGCAUAAUGAUCUUAAGCCACCCGUCUUGA